rnacentral:snRNA from 1 species
AUAGUUACCUAGCAGGGGAAACACCUUGAUCAUGAAGGAGAUUUUCCCAGUGUUAGGCUCAGCCAUUGCACUCCAGUUAUGCUGACCUCUGCGAUUUCCCCAAAUCCGGGAAACCUGACUGCAUAAUUUGUGGUAGUGGGGCUUUCCCCUG